CAUAGCAUUCCGAGACCGUGCCAAGCCCAACUGACCUAACCAAACCCGUCCGGUAUACAAUGAUGUUUUCUGUCCAAUCUCACCGAUAUAAACGAGCAAAUGGUCGUGCCAAUCAUCCGGUUACGAAGCAUUCAUAUUUUUCGUUUACAUUUACUUCGGUACUGAAUGGGUUUGACAGGGCGAGGAACAAACCUAAGAAAGGCUAGCACCUAGUGGCUUUGCAAUUCCUGCAUUUCAUUGAGUCAAUCUUCCUUCUUUGAUCGAUUUCGGUAGUUCGUACAAACAAGCCUUUCUCUAUCUAUUACUAUUAGAAAUUUUCGUAUUUCACCUGUUUUUUCCAUCCACUGACCACUUAUUGACUAUCUUUUGAUGCCUUUCCAUUGAACAGGGACCGCCUCGGAUACCGACGUAGAGCGGCCGAAUAAAAUAAUCUAAUUCCUGAUCGGACCCGGUAUUAACAUCGAACAUCCUUCCGACAGCAUCUUUAACAUAAACAAGGCCACGGGGGAAAUAUUUGUGCUUAAGGUGACCGAUAACGAUGGGAUCGACGAGAGCGCCAAAUACCACGUUUACCAUUCGUGAGUGAUUGUAAAGCUGAAAGAUAUCAACGAUAAUACGCCUUGCUUCAAGAAGCCGAACAUCAGAAGAAGAAACAAAAACUGGGAACAAAAACCGUUACAGGUUCCAAAGCAAACACGUACUCACCGCCCUCCAAGGUUCCGAACAUCCAGCUCGCUUGACCGGAAUUAUAACUUUUAUGAAGCACGAAUGCAACCAAAGACAUCGAUACAACCAGCCGCCAAGAACAAGAACACUUUCUUCGGUCGAUAGUUCCGUCAAAUUUCGAUAUGGUUCUGGUCGAUUUUGUUUGUUUCUUUUAUUUAACAAAAACUUGUUAAAUAGCGUGGUUAUGUCGAUGUAAGCGUUUAAUAAAAUCAGCGCUGGUUGGUUUCGUUUUUCAAAGCAAAAGUCUGUUCGAAAACUCUCUACUGUUUGCUUGGAAACUUUACUACUACGGAAUCCUUUGCAUUUUGCACAAAAACUUCAUUUUGCAGAGAUUCAUUUUGCUUCUGGAAAGCAAAUAAAGUUGCUCACUUGUGCAAAGCAAACACUAACUUGAAUUUUCAAUCAAUUACGAUGAAUGUCUCUAUCAAUAAAAACGAUGAUGCGGUAAACCAUAUGCAGGAUAAGGAUGGCAGCGAUGGACAAAGGACGGGAUGAGAAGCAGGGCAUGUAAAAAGUGGAUCAAAAGAGCGUUUGUUCCGGCGCUGCAAUUGAGCUAAAACAGGAAGCUUCUGUUUGCCAAUUUGAGAAGCAUUUAUUGAACAAACGUGCUGCACGACACAACUUCAAUCGUUGCAAUGAAUGAACGUUAGGAAAGUGCCGUUUUCAGCAUUUUCCUUUUUAAAAUAUAAGCAUUGGACACACAAAAGAUCCUCGAAGUCCGCGACAAGGAGCAGUCGUGUUUUUUUUUUUUUUUUUUUUUUUUGGAAGGCUUUGAGUCAUCGUGUUUUCUGUGUUGAUCUGCAACAUAAUGUAGUUUGCAGUCUAGGUGGAAAGAUUCAUAGGUACAGCUUCUUCCUAUGUUUUUUUAGUUGAAGUUAAUUUCAUUAUCAAAAUAUGAACGAAUUGUUUAUUUUCCAGUUUUUAUGCACCAUUCUUGCAAUGAUGAUGCAAUGAUGUGUGAUAUUUUGUUGCGGUUAUACGCUCGUAAAAAUCCAUGUUCCAUAUGUUCAAUAUAUCUACAGUGAUUGGUAAGGACUAGCAAACGAAAAGAUUAUGGUUGAAAUUUUCUUAAAUGCUGCUACCCGUGAUUUGAAAGGAUUCUUAUUUGGUUCACUGAUACAAAUCUGUCAGCUUGAUCGGCAAACGAGGUUGUAAUUAAACGUGAUCAGCUGUGAACGCCGUUUACCAUUGAUAUAGAAGGGAAACCGUUUCAACAAAUAAUUACGAUACCUGAUUGAUGCACAAAUACAGUUAUUUCGCCUAAUUGUAUAUGUGUGUGUAUUUAUUUAAACAAGAUGGAGGAAAUUGUAGCAUAAAGUAUCAGUAAAUAAACCAUAAGCGUAUUUUGCUCCAAAACACAUGUGCUAAAAUUAAUUUAAAAAACACACAUACACGUAACGCAAACAUGCCCGAAUGGUAAUUGACAAAUAGAAAUAGGUUUUGCUUUUCAUCAAUCAUUUCCAUACCACCUUUGCACUUACAUGACGGAUAAACAUCUGUUCAAAAGUAACCAAAAGCAAACCAAUAGUUAUAUAAAACCGCAAAAGAAAAUCAAAACCAACCAACAAACAAAACCGAAAUAUUUCAAAUGAUGUGCGAUUCAAUAUUGGAAAGAAAACGUCACACAUUCAACUAUGAAUCGGUUUGUGAAUGUUUUAAUUUAGGGUUUUUCCAUAUUCUGUGGUAUAAUACGAAAUACGAAGGGACGAAAAAAAGUGUGUAACAAAAAAACAACACGAUUUGAAAAUACAAAAAACAAAUGGGAAAAUUGUAAAAGCCUGCGUGAAAAACUGACAUUGUAAAGAUAAGAGUUUAAUAAAAAACUAUAAAAUUUAAAUAAAA